AAAACCAAAAAAAAACAGAGGAAAAA
rnacentral:sRNA from 1 species